rnacentral:rRNA from 1 species
GUCGAGCGGUAAGGCCCUUCGGGGUACACGAGCGGCGAACGGGUGAGUAACACGUGGGUGAUCUGCCCUGUACUUCGGGAUAAGCCUGGGAAACUGGGUCUAAUACCGGAUAUGACCUUGGACUGCAUGGUCUUUGGUGGAAAGAUUUAUCGGUACAGGAUGGGCCCGCGGCCUAUCAGCUUGUUGGUGGGGUAAUGGCCUACCAAGGCGACGACGGGUAGCCGGCCUGAGAGGGCGACCGGCCACACUGGGACUGAGACACGGCCCAGACUCCUACGGGAGGCAGCAGUGGGGAAUAUUGCACAAUGGGCGAAAGCCUGAUGCAGCGACGCCGCGUGAGGGAUGACGGCCUUCGGGUUGUAAACCUCUUUCGACAGGGACGAAGCGCAAGUGACGGUACCUGUAGAAGAAGCACCGGCCAACUACGUGCCAGCAGCCGCGGUAAUACGUAGGGUGCGAGCGUUGUCCGGAAUUACUGGGCGUAAAGAGCUUGUAGGCGGUUCGUCGCGUCGUUCGUGAAAACUUGGGGCUCAACCCCAAGCUUGCGGGCGAUACGGGCGGACUAGAGUACUUCAGGGGAGACUGGAAUUCCUGGUGUAGCGGUGAAAUGCGCAGAUAUCAGGAGGAACACCGGUGGCGAAGGCGGGUCUCUGGGAAGUAACUGACGCUGAGAAGCGAAAGCGUGGGUAGCGAACAGGAUUAGAUACCCUGGUAGUCCACGCCGUAAACGGUGGGUACUA